rnacentral:snRNA from 8 species
AUUAUUUUUUCUAAAAAAAAAAAAAUCUGUUCUUAUCAGUUUAAUAUCUGAUACGUCCCCCAUCGGGGGACUACAUAUUAAAUGGAUUUUUCGAACAGGGAGUCGGAAAUGGGGCUUGCUCCGUCCGCUCCACGCAUCGACCCCGGUAUUGC